rnacentral:rRNA from 1 species
GACGAACGCUGGCGGCGUGCUUAACACAUGCAAGUCGAACGGAAAGGCCCUGCUUGCCGGGUGCUCGCGUGGCGAACGGGUGUGUAACACGUAGGUGCUCUGCCCUACACUUCGGGAUAAGCCUGGGAAACUGGGUCUAAUACCGGAGAGGAGACAUUUUUAGUGUGAUUGUUGUAAAGUUUUUGCGGUUUAGGAUGGGCUCGCGGCCUAUCGGCUUGUUUGUGGGGUAAUGGGCUACCAAGGCGGCGACGGGUAGACGGCCUGAGAGGGUGGACGGCCAUACUGGGAAUGAGAUUAGGCGCAGAAGCCGACGGGAAGAAGCAGGGGGGAAUAGUACACAAUGGGCGCCAGGCCGAUGCAACGACGACGGGUGGGGGAAGACGGAACUCGGGUUGUAAGCGCAGUUUGCUAGGGACGAAGCUUUUUGUGACGGUACCUAGAGAAGAAGCACCGGCUAACUACGUG